CAACGAGUCGCAAGACCGCGAGGUUUAGCAAAUCUCUUAAAGCCGUUCUCAGUUCGGAUUGUAGGCUGCAACUCGCCUACAUGAAGUCGGAAUCGCUAGUAAUCGCGGAUCAGCAUGCCGCGGUGAAUACGUUCCCGGGCCUUGUACACACCGCCCGUCACACCAUGAGAGUUUGUAACACCCAAAGCCGGUGGGGUAACCUUUUGGAGCCAGCCGUCUAAGGUGGGACAGAUGAUUAGGGUGAAGUCGUAACAAGGUAUC
rnacentral:rRNA from 1 species